AACGAACGCUGGCGGCAUGCCUAACACAUGCAAGUCGAACGAGACCUUCGGGUCUAGUGGCGCACGGGUGCGUAACGCGUGGGAAUCUGCCCUUGGGUUCGGAAUAACAGUUAGAAAUGACUGCUAAUACCGGAUGAUGUCUUCGGACCAAAGAUUUAUCGCCAAGGAUGAGCCCGCGUAGGAUUAGGUAGUUGGUGGGGUAAUGGCCCACCAAGCCGACGAUCCUUAGCUGGUCUGAGAGGAUGAUCAGCCACACUGGGACUGAGACACGGCCCAGACUCCUACGGGAGGCAGCAGUGGGGAAUAUUGGACAAUGGGCGAAAGCCUGAUCCAGCAAUGCCGCGUGAGUGAUGAAGGCCUUAGGGUUGUAAAGCCCUUUUACCAGGGAUGAUAAUGACAGUACCUGGAGAAUAAGCUCCGGCUAACUCCGUG
rnacentral:rRNA from 1 species